rnacentral:snoRNA from 1 species
GAGAAAUGAGAGUGAGAAUGAGAGUUAAGAUGAGAUUGAGAGAGAAGAUGGGAGAGAGGAGUAAUAAAAGUGAAAAUAAUUUCAAAUAGAUUUCAGUUUUUAGUUUUUAUUUUCACUUUUGUUACUCCUCUCUCUCAUCCUCUAUUCUCAUAUUCCAUCUCAAUCUCACUUCCAUUCUCACUCUUUUUUCUCU